AUGUUUCCGUUAAUCAAGAACGAAAGUUAGAGGUUCGAAGGCGAUCAGAUACCGCCCUAGUUCUAACCAUAAACGAUGCCAGCCAGCGAUCCGCCGAAGUUCCUCCGAUGACUCGGCGGGCAGCUUCCGGGAAACCAAAGCUUUUGGGUUCCGGGGGAAGUAUGGUUGCAAAGCUGAAACUUAAAGGAAUUGACGGAAGGGCACCACCAGGAGUGGAGCCUGCGGCUUAAUUUGACUCAACACGGGAAACCUCACCAGGCCCGGACACCGGAAGGAUUGACAGAUUGAGAGCUCUUUCUUGAUUCGGUGGGUGGUGGUGCAUGGCCGUUCUUAGUUGGUGGAGCGAUUUGUCUGGUUAAUUCCGGUAACGAACGAGACUCUAGCCUGCUAAAUAGACGAUUUCCGGUAUCCACAAUAGUGCUACCGGCGAAAUCAAUAUCUUCUUAGAGGGACAGGCGGCUUUCAGCCGCACGAAACUGAGCAAUAACAGGUCUGUGAUGCCCUUAGAUGUCCUGGGCCGCACGCGCGCUACACUGAAGGAAUCAGCGUGUACACCCUGGCCGAAAGGCUCGGGCAACCCGUUGAACCUCCUUCGUGCUAGGGAUUGGGGCUUGCAAUUGUUCCCCAUGAACGAGGAAUUCCCAGUAAGCGCGAGUCAUAAGCUCGCGUUGAUUACGUCCCUGCCCUUUGUACACACCGCCCGUCGCUACUACCGAUUGAAUGAUUUAGUGAGGUCUUCGGACUGGUGCGCGGCGACCGCCUGCGCGGCCGCCGAUGCCACCGGGAAGAUGACCGAACUUGAUCAUUUAGAGGAAGUAAAAGUCGUAACAA
rnacentral:rRNA from 1 species